CUUUUCAGCCACUCCCCAAAAUUGCGCCGCAACUCUUCUCUCCUUCUGCUGUUCCAACUCCUCCUCUACUCCGAUGGCGUCGAAGCAAAGGAGUCCUCCAACAACACCGCACCGGUAAUGUCUUUUAUUCCCUUUCUUUAUUAUCUUUGUGCUUUGAAAAAAAAAACAAUGGAGAAGCAGAAAUAAAAAAAACAGUAAAAAACGAAAAAGAAAAGAUCCGAAUCUAUCACCUUCAAAACGUUCUCUUUUUCUCUUUGAUAUCUUUUUUCAGUGUUUUAGUACAAAUUUUGCUAACCUUCUAUCCUCUAUUUCUUUUUUUUUUCUCUUAAUUUUUGUAACCCCUUUACAAAAUUUUGAAUGGCUUUUUAUAGCCAAAUCCGUUUACAAAUCGCUAUCCUCCCCCUUUUGCUUGCUGUUGUUCGUGAUUUAUAGAUGCGAGCGAAGGGUUGAACGUGAGCGACGUGGAGGUUGCCGAACUUGGGGGCAACAUGCGGCACCCAAACUGCUGUUAGUCACUGCUUAGGGUUAGGCUGGGGUUUGGGCUUGUUCAGGUAUUGGGCCCCGGGCACCAAUUGGGUAUUACAAACAUGACUCGGACUCGGACGGAUAUAUGGAUCCAAUCAACACUCCAGUUUGGCACCUAGUGCCUCAUCGGAUAAAUCCGAAGUAAUAAUUGCGCCUAGCGCUAUAUAAAUUUGACACCCAGUGUCUCAUCGGUUAAACCAAAGUAAAUUGGCACCAAGUGCCUCAUCGACUCGAAGUCGAAGAAAUCCCUGAACUCUUCCAAUCCUAUAGCAUGUCAUCUAUAUCCGACUUAGCUCGAUACAGUUAAUAGGAUUUAAUUUCACUUCCUAAAUACAACCAAUAUUCAAUUAUCAUAUUUGCACAUAUAUAUUCAUUUCAAUUCAAAUAAUCAGUAUAUUCAUAAUAUAUAUCAAUUCAAUUCAUUCAAUCAACUUUUAAUUCAAUUUAAUGUCAAAGUGCCAAAUACUCACCUCAACACUUACCAUAUGCAUUGAAUAAAAAAUACAACAAUUAAUAACUAGUUUCAGAUUAUAGAAAUACAAACCAAAAAUUCCUAGCUAUUCCACAUCGACUUUAUCUUUCCCCUUUUUAGUUGAGGAUUUCGAUAUGACGCUAGCUAUAGAAUUAAAACAAUUAAAAUUCAUCAAUACAAC
rnacentral:lncRNA from 1 species